ACUCGAAUAGCUUAAGUUUAAAGCAAAGUAUUGAAGAUACUAGUAUAAGGUAACCUUUUUGAGUA
rnacentral:tRNA from 1 species